UGGAUCUCAAGGAUACUUUCUUACAACACACACAUCAUACUUAUACUACUUCUACUAGUUGCACCUCCCACAUGCUCCCAUACUUUAAGACCAUCAUGACUCUUACACAUUAGACCACACUCCUAGUUACUAACUCUUACACAUCAUAGGCUUGCUUUCUUACACACAAGCCACACAACUACAACAACUCUCAACAAUCACUCUUACACACUUAGACUCUAACAACUAAACACAACAAAACACAAGUCCAUUAUACUUUAACUUAUUUGGGCCUUUCUUCAACUCUGCAGCCCAUUACAACAACACACAAGUCCAUGUUGACUUUGCUCUUCUCCUUCCUUGACUCCUCUCUUCACGUCGUCUCUUCUCCGACAACGUGAGCUUUGCUUCUUCUUCUUUGUUCUUCGACUCACUGAUUUCUUCUUUCUCUUUGUUGCAGAUUUAAUCAAGAACUCAGUUCUCAACAAUAAGAUCUGAGGUUCUGAGGAAGAAGGAGAAGAAGAAACUCGUGAAGCAAAUCAGUGCACUGUGUAUGGUAUACCCUAAUAACCGAACAAGACCGGAUAAUCGGAUCAUCUGACGGGUCAGAUCCGGUUUGGUGCGGGUAAUAGGAAUCGGUCCAAUGGAACCAAAAUAAAAAAGCACAUUCGAAACUGUAAACCGGUUUUAUUCUUCUAAAAUUAUGAUAUGCCCAACCAAUCCCAUUAUUGUUUCAUUAUUUGAUCCACUUGGGCACAAUAUAUUUUAUGCAUAGUUUGACCAACGGAAACAACUAGCAUUUUACAAGUUGAAAGUUUCAGAAUUUGGAGUUUUAUGAUAAAGAAGCGAUAACCAAAAGAGAACAAGACUUCCUACUAAACAUCAUGAUAGAUUAGAAGUAUAAGUAGCUACUAGUAAUCUUGCUAAAUCCAAGGAUCCAAAUCAAGUCAUCAUGAGUUCCUCCACAACCGAAGCUCCACCGAUUCAAACCAUGGAUUCCGAAGAAGAUGAUGCCAUUAAAACACAGGCAUCAGAAGUGUUGGCCUCAUGUUGUCCAAUCUGGGAUUGCGCGGGAUGUGAAGGAGGUUGCACUUGCCCAUCAGAAUGUGUUGUCGGAUGUUUGCAAGUUUUUGGUUCAUGCUAGCAUUUUAUUUAUGAUCUCAACUCAUGUGUUCUUCUCCAAUGUUCCCCGUUUGUUGUUUCCAUUGUCAAAUGUUUUUGUAAUACAUUAACAAUAACGUAUAUUGAUUAUUUAUAGGAAGAAAAGAGAUACCAACGAAUUCUAAUU